rnacentral:rRNA from 1 species
GAGUUUGAUCCUGGCUCAGGACGAACGCUGGCGGCGUGCCUAAUACAUGCAAGUCGAGCGAAGUUUUUCUGGUGCUUGCACUAGAAAAACUUAGCGGCGAACGGGUGAGUAACACGUAAAGAACCUGCCUCAUAGACUGGGACAACUAUUGGAAACGAUAGCUAAUACCGGAUAACAAUAUUUUUCGCAUGAAAGAUACUUAAAAGUUGGUUAUGCUAACACUAUGAGAUGGCUUUGCGGUGCAUUAGCUAGUUGGUGGGGUAAAGGCCCACCAAGGCGACGAUGCAUAGCCGACCUGAGAGGGUGAUCGGCCACACUGGGACUGAGACACGGCCCAGACUCCUACGGGAGGCAGCAGUAGGGAAUCUUCCGCAAUGGGCGAAAGCCUGACGGAGCAACGCCGCGUGAGUGAAGAAGGAUUUCGAUUCGUAAAGCUCUGUUGUUAGGGAAGAAUGGAUAUGUAGUAACUAUACAUAUAAGAGACGGUACCUAACCAGAAAGCCACGGCUAACUACGUGCCAGCAGCCGCGGUAAUACGUAGGUGGCAAGCGUUGUCCGGAAUUAUUGGGCGUAAAGCGCGCGCAGGUGGUUUAAUAAGUCUGAUGUGAAAGCCCACGGCUCAACCGUGGAGGGUCAUUGGAAACUGUUAAACUUGAGUGCAGGAGAGAAAAGUGGAAUUCCUAGUGUAGCGGUGAAAUGCGUAGAGAUUAGGAGGAACACCAGUGGCGAAGGCGGCUUUUUGGCCUGUAACUGACACUGAGGCGCGAAAGCGUGGGGAGCAAACAGGAUUAGAUACCCUG